rnacentral:rRNA from 1 species
AUGAACGCUGGCGGCGUGCCUAAUACAUGCAAGUCGAGCGAACAGAUGAGGAGCUUGCUCCUCUGACGUUAGCGGCGGACGGGUGAGUAACACGUGGAUAACCUACCUAUAAGACUGGGAUAACUUCGGGAAACCGGAGCUAAUACCGGAUAAUAUAUUGAACCGCAUGGUUCAAUAGUGAAAGACGGUUUUGCUGUCACUUAUAGAUGGAUCCGCGCCGCAUUAGCUAGUUGGUAAGGUAACGGCUUACCAAGGCAACGAUGCGUAGCCGACCUGAGAGGGUGAUCGGCCACACUGGAACUGAGACACGGUCCAGACUCCUACGGGAGGCAGCAGUAGGGAAUCUUCCGCAAUGGGCGAAAGCCUGACGGUGCAACGCCGCGUGAGUGAUGAAGGUCUUCGGAUCGUAAAACUCUGUUAUUAGGGAAGAACAAAUGUGUAAGUAACUAUGCACGUCUUGACGGUACCUAAUCAGAAAGCCACGGCUAACUACGUG